UACGGAGGAUGCGAGCGUUAUCCGGAUUUAUUGGGUUUAAAGGGUGCGUAGGCGGGAUGCCAAGUCAGCGGUAAAAAUGCGGUGCUCAACGCCGUCGAGCCGUUGAAACUGGCGUUCUUGAGUGGGCGAGAAGUAUGCGGAAUGCGUGGUGUAGCGGUGAAAUGCAUAGAUAUCACGCAGAACACCGAUUGCGAAGGCAGCAUACCGGCGCCCUACUGACGCUGAGGCACGAAAGCGUGGGUAUCGAACAGG
rnacentral:rRNA from 1 species